rnacentral:rRNA from 1 species
GGCGAGUGAAGCGGCAAAAGCUCAAAUUUUAAAGCUGGCAUCUUCGGUGUCCGCGUUGUAAUUUUGUGAGGCAUCUCCGGGUGGGGCGCCGGCCUAAGUUCCUUGGAACAGGACGUCACAGAGGGUGAGAAUCCCGUGCUUGGCUGGCUGUCCCCGUUCAUGUGAGGUGUCUUCGACGAGUCGAGUUGUUUGGGAAUGCAGCUCAAAAUGGGUGGUAAAUUUCAUCUAAAGCUAAAUAUUGGUGGGAGACCGAUAGCGCACAAGUAGAGUGAUCGAAAGAUGAAAAGCACUUUGAAAAUAGAGUUAAAAAGUACGUGAAAUUGUUGAAAGGGAAGCGCUUGAGACCAGACUUCGGUAAGGAGUGAUCAGCCGUCCUUCUGGGCGGUGCACUUGCUCCCCUCCGGGCCAGCAUCGGUUGAGGCGGCGGGAUAAAGGUCCCGGGAAUGUGGCUCCUUCCGGGGAGUGUUAUAGCCCGGGUGAAUGCCGCCAGCUUCGACCGAGGACCGCGCCUUCAGGGGUUGAUAUGCUUGGUAUAGUGCUUCUCCGACACGUCUCGUGACACAGACAACAGAGACUCUAAUCUCUACGAGUGUGUGUGUGUGUCACACUUGCGCGCGAUGUGAGUGAAAAGAGAUGUGAGAACGCACGGGGCACCAUCUACAGGUCCUGAGAUCUCCUCUGAGAUAUCAGAAUGAGAACAUAUCUUUGACACGAAAGAUAUGGAAAAUAUGUGAGAAUGGUGAAACCCAGAGGACUCUCGUGUGAGACUCUC